CAUGGCCGCGGCGCGGCGCGCGAAGGCCGACACGCUGGCGCUGCGGCGGCGGCUCCUCAGCUCUUCCUGCAGACUCUUUUUCCCUGAGGAUCCCGUUAAGAUUGUCCGGGCCCACGGGCAGUACAUGUACGACGAGCAGGGGGCAGAGUACCUGGACUGCAUCAACAACGUGGCUCAUGUUGGGCACUGCCACCCUCGAGUGGUCCAGGCAGCACAUGAACAGAACCAGGUGCUCAACACCAACAGCCGAUACCUGCACGACAACAUCGUGGAUUACGCACAGAGGCUGUCAGAGACCCUGCCGGAGAAGCUCUGUGUGUUUUAUUUCCUGAAUUCUGGGUCAGAGGCCAACGACCUAGCCCUGAGGCUGGCCCGCCAGUACACAGGACACCAAGACGUGGUGGUGUUAGACCAUGCCUACCACGGUCACCUGAGCUCCCUGAUUGACAUCAGUCCCUACAAGUUCCGCAGCCUGGAUGGCCAGAAGGAGUGGGUCCAUGUGGCACCUCUCCCAGACACCUACCGAGGUCCCUACCGGGAGGACCACCCCAAUCCAGCUGUGGCCUAUGCCAAUGAGGUGAAACGCGUGGUCAGCAGCGCACAGGAGAAGGGCAGGAAGAUUGCAGCCUUCUUCGCCGAGUCUCUGCCCAGCGUGGGAGGGCAGAUCAUCCCCCCUGCCGGCUACUUCUCCCGAGUGGCAGAGCACAUUCACGGGGCCGGAGGGGUCUUUGUCGCAGAUGAGAUCCAGGUCGGCUUUGGCCGAGUAGGCAAGCACUUCUGGGCCUUCCAGCUGCAGGGGGACGACUUCAUCCCUGACAUCGUUACCAUGGGCAAGUCCAUUGGCAACGGCCACCCUGUUGCCUGUGUGGCCACAACACAGCCUGUGGCAAGGGCGUUUGAAGUCACCGGUGUUGAGUACUUCAACACGUUUGGGGGAAGCCCGGUGUCCUGCGCUGUGGGGCUGGCCGUCCUAGAAGUCUUAGAGAAGGAGCAACUCCAGGCUCAUGCCGCGCAUGUGGGCAGCUUCCUGAUGGAGCUCCUCAGGCAGCAAAAGGCCAAACAUCCCAUCAUCGGGGACGUCAGGGGUGUUGGGCUCUUUGUUGGCGUGGAUCUGAUCAAAGAUGAGGCCACGAGGACACCAGCAACGGAAGAGGCCGACUACUUGGUAUCCAGGCUGAAGGAGAACUACAUUUUGCUGAGCACAGAUGGCCCUGGAAGGAACGUCCUGAAGUUUAAGCCCCCAAUGUGCUUCAGCCUGGACAACGCACGACACGUGGUGGCAAAGCUGGACGCCAUUCUGACAGACAUGGAAGAGAAGGUGAGAAGCUGUGAAACACUGAGGCUCCAGCCCUGAACCAGCCCUGCUUGGUCAAGUGUCCUCCAGCUUCAGCUAAUAGUGGGAGUCUCAGCUGCCCAGAUUAUCUACUCAUCCCACCAAAACACGCAGCUUGCAUGUGCUAACAGAAGCAGCUACUUCCUCCUUCAGCUCCUCCUAGGGGAUGCUGCUAGGAGAUCGUAGAGGAUGCGGACUCAGAACAGUAAGCGGUGGCUCAAAAAGAAACUCAUCUCACCCAGACACUCUAUUGAGAAGGUGACCCUGCUCUCCAUCUUGCAGAUAAAGCUCUGAGGCUCCACUGGUUUGUUCGGAUGGGCCAGAUGUCGACAUCUCCCUAGGUCCCAAAGAGUCCACUUCCUCUUUGCUCAAAAAUCUGCCCACUGAGGAUAGGGUGGGAUUGGGGACUGAGGUGCUCCUGCUUAAAUAAAUCCCAAUACUGCAUUUUUAAGCUAAGUCCCCUGAUACACACUCCCAUUAAAUAUAGCCCAUUUUACACACUGUAUCCCCAUGCAAGCAUAAACCUUUAACUGGCAAAUUACCCCUACACCAAGUGAUACAAUCUGAUGUUUUCUAUCCUACUGAAUUAAAAACAUGAAUACAACCAACUAAAUAUACUUAUUUCUGACACCACCAGCAGUUUCACUUAAAUCCCGCCUUAGAGGCUCUUCCCAUCCAUUUCCCAUUAUUGCACACAAAGAAAAAGGACUCUCUGUAUCACUGUCCAGUGGAGUAACAACUAAUGCCUCACUUGUCUGCCCCUAAAUUUUCUGUUACAUUUAAGGGCCUAAUCCAAUCUUUCCAAACUCUCAAUCUGGAUGGAGGCUUCCAGGAGCCCCACCCUACCUGUCCCCCCUUAUCUGGCUGCCAAGUCCUACACUGCCACAGUGCUUGCCACACCCUGCCACAGCAGGCCACACCCUCAACUCCAACUGCCAACUUAAAAGCCUAAACUACCUUCUCCCUGACCAGAGUCCAGGGAAGAGCUACACUUCUCACUACACAAGACUCCACUCAUUUGAAAGCACAACUGGCCCUGGAUUUAAGCUGGCCAGGACCCUGGAAGUUCUCUGGGAGGGAUCUUGCCCUGAGGGUAACGUUGAUAAAGCAGUGCCCAAGUGGACGGAAAGGGACAAAAAUGUGGUUGUAGAGCCCCUUCCCAACUGUGCCCCCUUCUCCAAAACAAACAAACAAAUUUUGGUUAUAAAAAGAGGUAGAAAAAUCCUGUAGCAAGAAAAACCUUCACCAUAGAGGGAUAUCAGUGAGUUGCAGAAGUUCUAAACUCUUCUGAGAUCUUAGCUGGAGGCGUUAUACACCCAGGACUCUAAGAUCUAGAACACUGUCACCUCUAGCUUUAAAUCAGGAACCAAAAAGGCCACUCAGCAUGCUCUAGUGGACAGGCCACACUUCCU